rnacentral:rRNA from 1 species
CGAGUGAAGCGGCAUCAGCUCAAAUUUGAAAUCUGGCUCUUUCAGGGUCCGAGUUGUAAUUUGCAGAGGGCGCUUUGGCGUUGGCAGCGGUCCAAGUUCCUUGGAACAGGACGUCACAGAGGGUGAGAAUCCCGUACGUGGUCGCUGGCCUUCGCCGUGUAAAGCCCCUUCGACGAGUCGAGUUGUUUGGGAAUGCAGCUCUAAAUGGGAGGUAAAUUUCUUCUAAAGCUAAAUACUGGCCAGAGACCGAUAGCGCACAAGUAGAGUGAUCGAAAGAUGAAAAGCACUUUGGAAAGAGAGUCAAAUAGCACGUGAAAUUGUUGAAAGGGAAGCGCUUGCAGCCAGACUUGCCUGUAGUUGCUCAUCCGGGCUUUUGCCCGGUGCAUUCUUCUGUAGGCAGGCCAGCAUCAGUUUGGGCGGUUGGAUAAAGGUCUCUGUCACGUACCUCCUCUCGGGGAGGCCUUAUAGGGGAGACGACAUGCAACCAGCCUGGACUGAGGUCCGCGCAUCUGCUAGGAUGCUGGCGUAAUGGCUGUAAGCGGCCCGUCUUGAAACACGGACCAAGGAGUCUAACAUCUAUGCGAGUGUUUGGGUGUCAAGCCCGAGCGCGUAAUGAAAGUGAACGGAGGUGGGAUCCCUUAAGGGUGCACCAUCGACCGAUCCUGAUGUCUUCGGAUGGAUUUGAGUAAGAGCAUGGCUGUUGGGACCCGAAAGAUGGUGAACUAUGCUUGAAUAGGGUGAAGCCAGAGGWAACUCUGGUGGAGGCUCGCAGCGGUUCUGACGUGCAAAUCGAUCGUCAAAUUUGGGCAUAGGGGCGAAAGACUAAUCGAACUAUCUAGUAGCUGGUUCCUGCCGAAGUUUCCCUCAGGA